rnacentral:rRNA from 1 species
GUGGGGAAUAUUGGGCAAUGGGCGCAAGCCUGACCCAGCAACGCCGCGUGAAGGAAGAAGGCUUUCGGGUUGUAAACUUCUUUUACCAGGGACGAAACAAAUGACGGUACCUGGUGAAUAAGCCACGGCUAACUACGUGCCAGCAGCCGCGGUAAUACGUAGGUGGCGAGCGUUAUCCGGAUUUAUUGGGUGUAAAGGGCGUGUAGGCGGGACAGCAAGUCAGAUGUGAAAACCAGAGGCUCAAACUCUGGCCUGCAUUUGAAACUGUUGUUAUUGAGUGUCGGAGAGGUAAUCGGAAUUCCGUGUGUAGCAGUGAAAUGCGUAGAUAUACGGAGGAACACCAGUGGCGAAGGCGGAUUACUGGACGAUAACUGACGCUGAGGCGCGAAAGCUAGGGGAGCGAACGGGAUUAGAAACCCGGGUAGUCC